rnacentral:rRNA from 1 species
CCACCUUCGGGUGGUGGACAGUGGCGCACGGGUGAGUAACACGUGGGGACCUACCUGAUAGUACGGGACAACAGUUGGAAACGACUGCUAAUACCGUAUACGCCCUUCGGGGGAAAGAUUUAUCGCUAUCAGAUGGACCCGCGCUAGAUUAGAUAGUUGGUGAGGUAACGGCUCACCAAGUCGACGAUCUAUAGCUGGUUUGAGAAGAUGAUCAGCCACAUUGGGACUGAGACACGGCCCAGACUCC